rnacentral:pre_miRNA from 1 species
AGGAGGAACAGCCCCAGUGGCGGGGCCAGCUCUGGAAACCUGGAUUCAGCUCCAGCAGGAACUCCGGAGAUCUCCGUCUGCAGGGCCUGGAGGCUCCGGGGCGGG